UACAGAGGGUGCAAGCGUUAAUCGGAUUUACUGGGCGUAAAGCGUGUGUAGGUGGCCGCGUAAGUCGGUUGUGAAAUCCCUGGGCUCAACCCGGGAAUUGCAGUCGAUACUGCGUGGCUGGAGUUCGGUAGAGGACGGGCAGAAUUCCCGGUGGUAGCGGUGAAAUGUGUAGAGAUCGGGAGGAAUACCGAUGGCGAAAGCAACCGUCUGGGCCUGAACUGACACUGAGACACGAAAGCGUGGGGGAGCAAACAGGG
rnacentral:rRNA from 1 species